AUGGCAGUGGCCAGCAUGACAGGAGACAUCAUGACACGCCUUACCAAAAAAGAAACCAUGAUCGAGGUGACAAUCUUGACCACCAUGACAGGAGACACCAUGACACACCUCACCGAAGAAGAAGCCAUGACCAAGGUGACAGUCCCGACCACCAUGACACACCUCACCGAAGAGGAAGCCAUGACCAAGGUGACAGGAGACACCAUGACACACCUCACCGAAGAGGAAGCCAUGACCAAGGUGACAGGAGACACCAUGACACACCUCACCGAAGAAGAAGCCAUGACCAAGGUGACAGGAGACAUCAUGACACACCUUACCGAAGAAGAAGCCAUGACCAAGGUGACAGUCCCAACCACCUAUCUUACUAUAGUGACAGUCCCGACCAGCAUGACAAGAGGCACCAUGACACAUCUUACCGAAGAAGAAGCCAUGACCAAGGUGACAGUCCCGACCACCUAUCUUACUAUAGUGACAGUCCCGACCAGCAUGACAAGAGGCACCAUGACACACUUUACCGAAGAAGAAGCCAUGACCAAGGUGACAGGAGACAGCUUGACACACCUGACCGAAGUGAUAGCCCUGGCCAGCAGGAGAGGAGAUAUGAAAAACACUAUCAAAAUAGAAGUCAUGACCACUAUGACUGGGACAAUAGACGUGAUAGACACAACCAGAGAGACAACAAGAGCAGGUGUGACCCUUGUAAUGACAAUCAAAAGAAUCACAAAGGUAGCCAGGAAGAUGCUGAAUCCAGCUUCCCUCUAACUAAAGCUUACGUCCACGUGGCAAUGCCUGCCUGCCUAGGCCCCUUGAGCCCCAGUCAAGAGACGAGCACCCGUGCAGUCAGGCAGAGGAUCUCUUUAAUCUGAUGAAGACUGCGGUAUGACAACAUGAGACCACUGAUUCUAGCCGGAAGGAGGGGUAGACAUGACCAUCUGGUGUAGCCGUAUGUACUUCCCUGGCAAACUGACAGCCAUGGAUCCAAAGCUCCCAAUGUACCUUGUAUGUCUGGCAGUGGUGUACUGCCAGGUGCAACGGGCUAUGCCCGAUGAAAUUCCUCAUCUUCUGUCACAGGCAGUUUACUCGUCUUUUGCAAAAGUGGAGAAAAUGUCGGCGGGCAAACAACUCGCUUCUGCCCGCUAGAGUGGAUGGAGCCUUAUAUUGCAUGGCAUAAAUUUCAGAAGCGAGUGUUACAACUUCUGCUGGACAUCAGGAAAACUGUUUCGGAUACGAGCACAUGUGGUGGUAAACCAGCUGACACAGCUUGUACUCUUACAAUCAAACGGAAUAAUUCCCUGGAAGAAGUGCAGAAUCUAGAGGAUGAAUUGGUUAAUCCCAGUUAUUUCAUGGAAGUGUGCAACCAGUGCGUCCGCAUAGGUGGCUAUAAUAAGAGAGAUAUGGUCUCUAAUUUGAUGUGCAGGUUUAUGACCAAAAACCUCAUGUGUCAGUAUAACAUGCUUGGGCAGAGAGGCAAGUUGUCUUUUAGAAAAACAAAGUUAUACAAUGUGAUUCAGGAGAGUGUGCUUAAAAAGUUCUCAGAUUCAAAUGUGACAGAAAUACAAAUGAUAGUUGCAGCAAAAUUGCGUAAUGCUCCAAAAUUGAAAAAUGAAAAUUAGCUGAUGUAAAAUGGUACUUACAAUCAGUUAAGAUCUGCAAGAAUGUUAAAACAAACCAAUCUUUGUCUCAUGCAUGACCUUGGUGAAGUAAAGUAUUUUCAUACCAAGAUGAACUGCAAUAGCGCAGUGAAAAAUCUAGUCAUACCCACUGCCACCAGGAGUCUAACCCGGGUCUCUUGAGUGAGAGCCAGACAGCAAGACCACUACACCACUGUGGUGUAGGGGUCUUGCUGCCUGGCUCUCACUCAAGAGACCCGGGUUCGACUUCUGGUGGCAGUGGGUAUGACUAGAUAAAGUAUUUUCAUUUUGUAUGUUACUAAAAAAAUGCUGGUAAAUUUAUCUCAUGACUGAUUGUACACAGAUGACCUUAUAUAUUGUAACUAUGUGUACAUUUCCCUUCCUCCCCCCUCUCUCUCUCUCUUAAAGAAGCUCUUUUUCUAUCAGAAUGACAAAAUUUAUUGAUGUGUAAACAGUAUAAGGGGGGAUGUUAGAGAAGCUUAAGAAUGAAAGAACCAGGACCGCCGAGAACCGAACCUCAGACAAGCUGUUCCCGCCACCACGCUAACCUGGUCCUGGUUCUUUCAACUUGUCGUUAUGGGAUUCAAGCUUAAGAAUGGUUUUAAGAUGUGGAGAGAGACUUACUGCUGUAAAAUUUGAACCGAUUGGGAUAUUACCUCAUGAUAUUUAUGUGAGAUGAUAUUAAUGAUCUCAGAUUAUAAAAGCAAACUAGUAUUAUUAACAGUGAUUUAUUUUGUAAUUUAGUAAUAGAUAUAACAUUUUAAUUUAUAAUUUUGCUUUUGCCUACCACUUAGGUUCCCAUGUAUUUUUACGUAAAUGAAAAAGUAUGGAGCUACACAAGUAUCAAUUCACAAAAUGCUUAAUUUCAUUGACAACUGUGGUCUGUAUUGUUUUAAGCAUAUUGUGUACUUGUGGCAGGCCUGGUAUUCUUUGCAUAUAUUCCCCCUGGGGCUACAUAGAUACUAGAAUGUAGCCCUCUCCAUGUCGGCUGUGUGCCGUAAGAGGCGACUGAUUCUGGCCCUGGGUGGGGAUCUCUUUUACUAGCCCAUAGCAGGUCUUUUUACCGCUUGACAUAUUUUCCCUUCUCAUUUCCCUUUGCUUUCUGUCCAUUUUCUUUUACGUUCUCUUACUUUUCCGAGUGGUGGGCUGACUCUUUGUCAGAGUGAGGGUUGGUGUCCUUUACUUCCCAUAGCCAUUUCUGUCUUUCUCUUGUUCUAUAUACCUCUACUGUUUAGGGUGACACUAGGCUGGGGAUCUGCCCAUUCUUCUCUACCUUUUAUAGUCCCACUUGUGGCACAUGCCCAGGGAUAAUGCUAGGCACAAGUGCCAUGGGAACCCAUUUAUUGAGUCGUGGCCCGGGAUGGCGGAUGGUCACCCUCACAGUUCAAGGGUGGUUUCUGCUGUUCUGGACCAUGGCAUGGGGAGGUAAUGCAUAGGAGCAGGUGUCAGGCUAUGGAUGGAUUGUGGCUAAACAAAGUUUUAAUUUUUUGUAUUACUGGGAUCAUCCAUUUAUAUAUUGCAGUUAUUCUUCAUUCAAGUCAGAUAUCUUGAAAGCCUUUAUAUAUAAAAAUGCAAGCACUAACUUUUUUUUUUUUCAUAAAAUAUGGAAAUUAUUUUGGUUUUGAUAUUUUUACAAGGAUGAAGAUUAUUAAAUUUAUGAAAAAGUGUAAGACUGAAGAAUAUAUAUAUACACACUUUCUGUA